UCUGGAGAGAUCAGUGGCCACACGGCUAUCGGCCAUGGUUAAUGUUUUCAUCCAUCUAAGGUGCAAUUUCAAAAUUUCUAAGGGUAGGUUAAAAAAAAGUGCUUCUUAUCUUUGUUAACAUUGUAUUCUUUUUUCUUGAUGUUCGUAAAAGGUAUUUCUCUGAUUACUCAUGUUUAUGUUGUGAGCAUGUAGAAACAGUAAUGCUAAUGCAUGGCCAGUUGCCUUCCUAAGAUUGUGACACCAGGCUUACCUUUUCAAGUUUAGUAUAGAAACAAUUAUCAUGGAAAUAACUACUGUGGACUGUUGGAGAGUGAUCUUUUUUUGUGAUUUAUGCAGUGGCUGGAUUGGAUCUUUUAAUAUGCUAAUGUGGAAAAUUAAUUACCUUUAUGAAGGUGGUAUCUUAAACAUAAGCACACUAAACCCUCAAGACUUGUUUUACCCACUUAAAACUUUUAACGGAUUGCACCUCUGUAAGCUAUUUCUUAAAAUGUGUAUGAUAUAUUUGAAAAGACUUCCAUUAAUAUAAUAGCUUUGCUUGCAGCCUUCCAAUCUAUGUUGGUUUACCUGUAGUGUUUCUAAAGGGUGGUCAGAGGCCACUAGAGAAUGUAUUGUUUGGGAGUGUAGUGAUAUAUAUUUUGUGUUUUUAUUUCAAGUAAGUCAUUUUAACCAAAUGUUCAUUCACAUUCAUUUAUAAGAAGUACCUAUAUCAGACAAAUUUUAAAAGAAAAACAAUCAGUAUUAAUGGACCAAAUUUCGUGUUUGUUUUAACCUUGACUCUCUUUUGAUUCUUUCUAAUGCUACAAGAAUGCUGUGAAAUGUCAUUUAAAAUAAUGAUGUAGCCUGACAAGAAAUUUUGUCAGUGUAUAAACCUAGGUAGUAUUGUGCACUGAUUUGACCAUUGUGAAUUCCUCCUUCAGUGUAAGUGCAUUCCCAAUAAAAUUUAUUGAGUGAAACAAUCUUUGUACAACUACUAGUCAUGCAUCAUCAGUAAUUUUACAAGUUCUUGUAGUAGGUAGGGGGUAUUACUAGCGUUUCUGUGGCAUGAUUAUGCAUUCUGUAAUAUUAAUUUGGGGGUCCUUUUGCUUUUUAACACUUAGAUUAUCUUAAUGGUUCAACAUUUUUCUGAUAUAUGCAGUAUUAAAGAUAUUGAGCAAAAGUAUUAAUGGGCUUCUUUAAAUUCUAUAUUAUAGUGUUUCAGUUCUGUGUCUACAGUGUGUGAUGAUUUUUAAAACUGUCUUUUAAAUUUAUGUAAUGAUGUUGACAUUUUGACUUUUAUUUCUGGUUUUAGAGUUUGUAUUUUCAUGGAGUGCUUUGUAGCAGGCAUUACAAGUAAUCUGUUUUGUACAUAAAUGUGCCAACAGCUUGAUGGUGGCGUUUUUGAAAUGUAGAACAAAGUGCUUGCAAAAUGUAAUAAAUACACUUGUGUACUUUG
rnacentral:lncRNA from 1 species